UUGGUAAUGAGUCUUGGAGUGGAGUGACCAAGCCCCGAGCUCCUGCGGCGGCGCAGCAGCCCGGAGCUAGGACCCUUGAUCGGGCCCGCCCCGCUUGGCCGGCUCCAGCCGGCUCCGGCGGGGUGUCCAGCGGGGCCCUGCCCCAGCAGCCUGGCUUACAUCGAAAUCUAGCCCGUAAGUUUUGGUCUUGAGACUUUGCUCCCCGGCUUCUUGGAAGGGAGCCCACCUCUGACUGGGACGUUUAAGGACUCCUUAGGUUUGUACUUUAAGUGAGUUUUGCAGUGCUUCGCUUGAAAUUACGUGAUUUCGAAGGCUCCCAGAAGCUCAAGACGUAAGUUCCUGACAAAAGACCCGCUUGCCCAUAAGGCGUUCUUGCUGGGAAACUGUGGUGAUCGGAAAACUGCUGUCCAUUCAGAGCCUUCAGCUCGGAAAUGACUAGCUGAUGCGUGGUUUGGAUGAGUGGGUCUUAACCAACGCCACUCCUCCAUGAAAGGUUCAGAGUUCAGGUCGCAACGUUAUACCUACUCAUUCUUUGGUGGGAUAUCAACCCCUGAAAGGUCUCUGAAGUCACAUACCCAGAAUCCUGCCUGUUGCCUUUUCAGGGUUACAGUGCAUGUGCACAGAAAACCACUGGAGCAACUUCGUGAGCCCGUACAUAGAGCUUAAUGAGGAAUGCCAGGGCGGACGAAUUUGGAUGUGCCAGUGUCCUCUUCCUAUAGUGUUCCAUUCUUUUGCAAUCCCAGAGAAAAUGUUGCC
rnacentral:lncRNA from 1 species